ensembl:lncRNA
GCCCCGUCUCCACACCUGCGCUCACACACUUGGUUUUAUCCUGUGUGUGUGUGUGUGUGUGUUGUCCUGUACACGAAAGCCACCUACAAAAGUAUUGCGUGUUCCUAGGAGCUACUCAUAGUUCCUAGAGUCGAAAAAGCCACAAGCAGGAAGUGUAACGUUAGAAUGGUCACUACCCAGAGUUCUAUAGUUCUUUGUACACCAAAGCUGCCUUGAAAAAAAAGUUGAACAUUAAAAUGGAGACCAUCCAGUCCCCGUAGGAGGAAGAGGAAGGAGCUAUCCAGUCCCCGUAGGAGGAAGAGGAAGGAGCUAUCCAGUCCCCGUAAGAGGAAGAGGAAGGAGCUAUCCAGUCCCCGUAAGAGGAAGGAGCUAUCCAGUCCCCGUAAGAGGAAGAGGAAGGAGCUAUCCGGUCCCCGUAAGAGGAAGGAGCUAUCCAGUCCCCGUAAGAGGAAGAGGAAGGAGCUAUCCAGUCCCCGUAGGAGGAAGAGGAAGGAGCUAUCCAGUCCCCGUAAGAGGAAGAGGAAGGAGCUAUCCAGUCCCCGUAAGAGGAAGAGGAAGGAGCUAUCCAGUCCCCGUAAGAGGAAGGAGCUAUCCAGUCCCUGUAAGAGGAAGAGGAAGGAGCUAUCCAGUCCCCGUAAGAGGAAGAGGAAGGAGCUAUCCAGUCCCCGUAGGAGGAAGAGGAAGGAGCUAUCCAGUCCCCGUAAGAGGAAGAGGAAGGAGCUAUCCAGUCCCCGGAAGAGGAAGGAGCUAUCCAGUCCCCGUAAGAGGAAGAGGAAGGAGCUAUCCAGUCCCCGUAAGAGGAAGAGGAAGGAGCUAUCCAGUCCCCGUAAGAGGAAGAGGAAGGAGCGCAGGACGUGUAGCGAGGCGCCCCCUACAGGACAGAUGUCCCAACUGCAGCCCUGAGUCUGAGGGGUGAUGGGAUCAGGUGAGGCCCCUCGGGGAGAGGCCCCAGAUGUGUGUGAGGCCCUCGGGGAGAGGAGAAGACCCAGGUGUGUGUGUGAGGCUGUGUCGGGAGAGGCCCCAGAUGUGUGUGUGAGGCUGUGUUGGUUCAGGAGAGGACCCAGAUGUGUGUGUGAGGCUGUGUCGGGGAGAGGAGAGGACCCAGGUGUGUGUGAGGCCCCAG